GGCCUGCCCACUGAAAGUUUAAAUGGCCGCGGUAUUUUGACCGUGCAAAGGUAGCAUAAUAAUUAGUUUUUUAAUUGAAAGCUGGAAUGAAAGGUUGGAUGAGAAAAUAGCUGUCUCUGUUUAAGUUAAUUAGAAUUUUAUUUUUAAGUAAAAAAGCUUAAAUGAUAAUAGAAGACGAGAAGACCCUAUAGAGUUUUAAUUUAGUUGGGGUGAUUGAAAAAUUUAAUUAACUUUUUUUAUAUAUAAACAUUGAUAUAUGAGUGGUUGAUCCUUUAUUUGAGAUUAAAAGAAAAAAUUACCUUAGGGAUAACAGCGUAAUUUUUUUAGAGAGUUCAAAUCGAAAAAAAAGAUUGCGACCUCGAUGUUGGAUUAAAAUUA
rnacentral:rRNA from 1 species